GAUGAACGCUGGCGGCGUGCCUAAUACAUGCAAGUCGAGCGAAUGGAUUAAGAGCUUGCUCUUAUGAAGUUAGCGGCGGACGGGUGAGUAACACGUGGGUAACCUGCCCAUAAGACUGGGAUAACUCCGGGAAACCGGGGCUAAUACCGGAUAACAUUUUGAACCGCAUGGUUCGAAAUUGAAAGGCGGCUUCGGCUGUCACUUAUGGAUGGUCCCGCGUCGCAUUAGCUAGUUGGUGAGGUAACGGCUCACCAAGGCAACGAAGCGUAGCCGACCUGAGAGGGUGAUCGGCCACACUGGGACUGAGACACGGCCCAGACUCCUACGGGAGGCAGCAGUAGGGAAUCUUCCGCAAUGGACGAAAGUCUGACGGAGCAACGCCGCGUGAGUGAUGAAGGCUUUCGGGUCGUAAAACUCUGUUGUUAGGGAAGAACAAGUGCUAGUUGAAUAAGCUGACACCUUGACGGUACCUAACCAGAAAGCCACGGCUAACUACGUGCCAGCCGCCGCGGUAA
rnacentral:rRNA from 1 species